rnacentral:rRNA from 1 species
GCAAGUCGAACGAGUACGAUUUUAAGCUUGCUUAGAUGAGUCGAGUAGGCAAACGGGUGAGUAACGCGUAGACAACCUGCCGCAAAGAUGGGGACAACAGUCCGAAAGGACUGCUAAUACCGAAUGUUGUCAGAUUCCCGCAUGGGAGACUGAUUAAAGAUGGCCUCUACUUGUAAGCUAUCGCUUUGCGAUGGGUCUGCGUCUGAUUAGCUAGUUGGUGGGUAACGGCCUACCAAGGCGACGAUCAGUAGCCGGUCUGAGAGGAUGAACGGCCACAUUGGAACUGAGACACGGUCCAGACUCCUACGGGAGGCAGCAGUGGGGAAUCUUCCGCAAUGGGCGAAAGCCUGACGGAGCAACGCCGCGUGAGUGAAGAAGGGUUUCGGCUCGUAAAGCUCUGUUGACGGGGACGAAUGUGCGGAAUGCGAAUAGUUUUUCGCAAUGACGGUACCCGUCGAGGAAGCCACGGCUAACUACGUGCC